GCUAUGAAGAGUUCUGUAGGUGACACAAAAGGAGUUUUUAAAAGGUAGAGAUGUAUAGAGAAGUUCUCAUCAAAACCUCAAGCUAUGUGGAGUUUUCCCAUUGACUAACGCUUAAGAUAUAUUGGAGUCAAAUGCUCAUAAAAUGCUCAUCAAUGCUUAUAAAAUAUUAAGAGUUGAAAUGGACUCUCUGUUCAUGCAGAUGAUGAGACCGAAACAGAGAGCUUCCAGGAGGAUCAAUGCCAUUCAAUGAGCUUGCUGCUGUACUCCCCUCUACACAAUAUGGAUAUAUCCCAUCCCAGCCCGAGACUGGCCAUACUAGUUCUAGUAACUGAGGCUUUCCUCCUACUUUCUCUGACGCCAAAGCAAAUUUGAUUUUGCAAGUGAGUGCCCUCACAUUUUAAAGCUCUGCUGAGAUUUAGAAAGGCACUCAGCAGUCAUCAUUCAUCAUGAAGUCACUCCCUCCCAGGCCACGUGGCUGACCCCAGACUUUCUAUUAACUGCACAAGCCUGGGCAACACAUGGAUAUUUGGCUCUGUAGUGAAGCAAAUUUAAAUUCUUGGUCUCCUUCCUCUCCUCCAGAAGUAUCUCACUGUGCACUUUGGGGGAACCUUUUGGUUCCCCCACAAUUUUCAAGGAUGACUUGGUAGUAAACGAACUUAUGGCUGGUUACUGAGACUUUCUACUGCUUGAAUUUCCCAGAAGGUUCUCUGCAAAGUUACUCACGCUUCAGCUCUUGUUCUGACAGUUUGGAUAAACCAUCUGAUAUGGCAUAUUACUCAUCAUCUUCAUAUAUAUAAUAAUAGAAAACGUGUCAAUUAAAAAAAUAUUUGAUUUUCUUCAGUCCUCAUUAGAGAACCAAGUUUUCUCUCAUAUUCGAUAAGAAUCUUGGAAGUGGGCCCUGGACUCUCAUUUCUGCAGCAUCUCCCAACCAUCUCUCAAGAAAACACCAGGCUCCCUACUCCCAUUGCACCUGUACCUGGACCUUGUGGACCCUCCAGAAGAUGAAGUCCAAUCCAGAAAGCCGUGAUCAUGCCACUUCUAAGAUGCUAAUGAUCCUGGGAGUUUUAGCCUUUUGUUGCCUGCUGCUGCGGUGUUUGAACCAUUCCAGUAAGCCAGCAACUUUGCAGGGACAAGGACAGAGCAUGCAAAGCAUGGAGGGAAAGUAGGAGUGUUUGUACCAUGAGUCUCUGCACACCCCUCAUCUUGGCUAUAGUAGACUGGACCACAGAUGGACACUGUACCAUGCAGAUUACUUCUUCCAGGAACUUGGAUUGAGACCAAGAGACUCAUGGCAUCCUCUUCUGGCUGCAAGACUUAUAUUUUUAUAUUUAGGCAAUAGAAGAGGGGCAGCAGAUGCCUACCUUGUGGAACAGAGGAAGGCAGGCAGUUCACAGAGAAAGAGGACUAGACAGUCGGACAGAGGGGAGCAGGCUUGGGAGCUUCGUGGAGCCAAUGUCCAUCUCUGUCCUUCCUUUCCACUCGAUGCUCCUGAGUCCCUGCCUUCAACCCCCGCUUGUUUGCUUAAACUGGUUUGAGUUUGUUUCUGCUGUUUGAAAAACAACAACAACAAAACCCCAAACAAAACAAACAUCAAACAAAAACCAAAACAAAACCAUUAACUCACUC
ensembl:lncRNA novel transcript, antisense to C1QL3